CAGCAGCCGCGGUAAUACGUAGGUCCCGAGCGUUGUCCGGAUUUAUUGGGCGUAAAGCGCGUCUAGGUGGUUAUAUAAGUCUGAUGUGAAAAUGCAGGGCUCAACUCUGUAUUGCGUUGGAAACUGUAUAACUAGAGUACUGGAGAGGUAAGCGGAACUACAAGUGUAGAGGUGAAAUUCGUAGAUAUUUGUAGGAAUGCCGAUGGGGAAGCCAGCUUACUGGACAGAUACUGACGCUGAAGCGCGAAAGCGUGGGUAGCAAACAGGAUUAGAUACCCCGGUAGUCCCUGUCUCUUAUACA
rnacentral:rRNA from 1 species